CCUCCUUUGUUCCGCCGUGCGGAAUAUUGGUCAAUGGGCUUACGCCUGAACCAGCCAAGUCGCGUGAGGGAAGACUGCCCUAUGGGUUGUAAACCUCUUUUGUCAGGGAGCAACGCCGGCUACGUGUAGCCGGACUGAGAGUACCUGAAGAAAAAGCAUCGGCUAACUCCGUGCCAGCAGCCGCGGUAAUACGGAGGAUGCGAGCGUUAUCCGGAUUUAUUGGGUUUAAAGGGUGCGCAGGCGGAAUGUCAAGUCAGCGGUAAAAUUUCGGGGCUCAACCCCGUCGUGCCGUUGAAACUGGCGUUCUUGAGUGAGCGAGAAGUAUGCGGAAUGCGUGGUGUAGCGGUGAAAUGCAUAGAUAUCACGCAGAACUCCGAUUGCGAAGGCAGCAUACCGGCGCUCAACUGACGCUCAUGCACGAAAGCGCGGGUAUCGAACAGGAUUAGAUACCCUUGUAGUC
rnacentral:rRNA from 1 species